GAUCUGUGGAGUGUACUUGGAGUCUAUAAAGAGAAGUCUCUGGUUGUUUCCAGAUCUAGUUUUGAGUUUUGUAUUCCUCUGCAGUGUCCAGUUGGUGGUGGUCUUUGUUGACCGUGGUUCUCUUGGAUCUUUGAAGUUUGACCUUCAGUGUUGAGAUACUGACAAUGGCAAUCCAUGGGUCUCCUUUCGAAUCUCCUUACGGGAUGGUUUUGGUGGUGUUGGUGGAGCUACGUCUCUGACCUUACUGACUUAGUUCUUUUGCAACGGAUUCAUUAUGGCCUUUUCAUGUGUGCCGGCUUAGGUUCUUUGUUGCCAUUCACUAAUGUUCAGUCCUUGUUGUUGGUAGUUGGUUUGAGUUCUUGUUUCUAAGCAUGGUGUUCAUUCUUAAGAUUGCUUUGCUUUUGCGACUCGUUGUAGUUUGCUGGUGACUAUUCUGCUUGUCCUCAAUAUUCAUUUUGGUAUCAUUUCAGAGUGGUUAGACCUUGCUACUUGUUUCAUGGUGUGGUUUCUAUCUAGGCGUUUAUUGGUCGGGUCUUGUGUUAUCCGACUUCGCCGCAUUCGGAAGUUUUAUGAAGAUCGAUAGGUCUUUAACUUGCUGGAUUAUGAAGCCAUGGAUUCUUUGUCUUGGAGAGGUUAUAAGCAUCUACGUUCGUGCUUUGUGAGUUGGACUCCAUCUCUCUCAAUCUCACAAUCUCAUGACCUUUUUGGGUUUUUGAAUUUACUUCUCACCCACGUGUAUGGGAUUAUUAGUCUAUAGAUACCUACUGGUGUCUUUUACUUUGAGUUUUAGUUGCUGGCAUGUUUGGUCCAGGAUUGUAAGGAUACUUUUGAUUGAAUACCAAGUGUUAAAAAAAAAAAAAAA
rnacentral:lncRNA from 1 species